GACGACGAGAAAUAGCUUUGCACGAAAUGAAGAGGAGCAAAGCGUUUAAUAUCGGUAUUUGCCGAGCUGUGAGAACAUCUAAAUUUUUGAAUGGAUGAAAACAUCUUACAACAUGCACAGGCUGUCCUGAGAGACUAUUAAAUGAGGAUUGUUAGAGAGGAAUAUGCCAACAAGAACUGCAAUGAGGAGUCGUUGACAGGAGGAAACUUUUUAAAAGAGACCACACACUACCUCAUCAACAUGCUUGAAGAUGAUCUGAGCCUGAACCCUGAAGAGGGACAAAGGGCCUCGUGAUAGACUACCUUUCUCUCUGCAAGUAUUGACAAUUCUGCUUUUGCAUGCUGAUAAUUUCAGGGAAUACGUGGUGAUGAGGCAUCAGUGUUGCAAUCAUCUGUUUGUGAGACUUGAUCAAAGAUGUUUCGCAAGCCAUAGCAAGAAAAAAGAGGUUUUGUGAGAACUUCAACAACC